AUUUAAAUUAGCAUAUUUCUGCCAUUCCUUCUUAGGGUGCCAAUGGGUGAAGUAUGAUGGGUCAGUGGUAGGGCCUGGACAUAUUUUUUACUUCCAGAAAUCACAAUCUCAUACAAAGAUUCAGGAAUAAAGACUGCCCCUGGUAGACCAGCCUGAAUCAGAAUGGUUUAGUGUUGCCCCCCUCCAGUUUGGGUAUCAUUGGGUCUCAUUUAAGACUUUAGUAGUCUGGCACUUUGUGUGACUUUUCUCAUUUAUCCAGAUAGUCUUUUUGUGUCUGAAACAUUAAAUCAUAUAAUCUGCUGAUUUUGG